rnacentral:ncRNA from 2 species
UCAUCGCCACCACAUGUAUGCUCAUCUCGCUGUCGACGCAGAGGAAUCCGGUGGGAAUCCGGAACUGUCCCGCAACGGUGUGCUGUGGUGCCUUUGUCGUACCCGCAAGUCCGGACGUCUGCCGACAGCGCGCCCGGCUC